rnacentral:rRNA from 1 species
AAUACGGGAGGGGCGAGCGUUAUUCGGAAUAACUGGGCGUAAAGGGUUCGUAGACGGUAUUAUAAGUUAAUUAAAAAAGAUUAAAGCUUAACUUUAAUUAAUCCUAAUUAAAACUAUUUUACUAGAGUUUUAUGCAGAAGAGUAGAAUUUCAUAAGUAGAGGUGGCAUUUGUAGAUCUAUGGAGGAAUAUCAGAAGCGAAAGCGACUCUUUAGCAAUAACUGACGUUGAGGAACGAAAGCGUAGGUAGCAAACAGGAUUAGAUACCCUGGUAGUCUACGCCGUAAACACUGAAUGCUAAAAUUCUAAAAUUUAUUUUGGGAUUUUAAAGUUAACACGUUAAGCAUUCCGCCUGAGGAGUAUAAUCGCAAGGUUGGAACUCAAAGGAAUUGACGGGGGCCUAUACAAGUGGUGGAGCAUGUGGUUUAAUGCGAUAAUACGCGCGAAACCUUACCAGUUUUUGAUUAUUAGUAUUAUUUAAUUUCUAAUACAGGUGUUGCACGACUGUCGUCAGCUCGUGUCGUGAGAUUUUUGGUUAAUUCCUUUAACGAGCGCAACUCUUCUCUUUAAAUUUAGUAGGCUAAAUAAAUAACGAUUUUACAUAAGUUUUUAUUUAAAUGUUGGCUUUUAAAGAUACUGUUUACGAUAAGUAAAAGGAAGGUGAGAAUAACGCCAAGUCACUGUGGCCUUUAUAAACUGGGCUACACACGUGCUACAAUGAAAAUUACAAAGAGUAACUAAAAUGAAAGUUUCUGUUAAUCCCUAAAAAUUUUCUCAGUUCGGAUUGUAGACUGCAACUCGUCUACAUGAAGUUGGAAUCACUAGUAAUCGCAAAUCAGAAUGUUGCGGUGAAUUUGUACUCUGGCCUUGUACACACCGCCCGUCACAUGCAGG